GAUGAAGAACGCAGCAAAAUGCGAUAAGUAAUGUGAAUUGCAGAAUUCAGUGAAUCAUCGAAUCUUUGAACGCACAUUGCGCCCGCCAGUAUUCUGGCGGGCAUGCCUGUUCGAGCGUCAUCUCAACCCUCAAGCACAGCUUGGUGUUGGGACUCGCGUUAAUUCGCGUUCCCCAAAUUGAUUGGCGGUCACGUCGAGCUUCCAUAGCGUAGUAGUAAAACCCUCGUUACUGGUAAUCGUCGCGGCCACGCCGUUAAACCCCAACUUCUGAAUGUUGACCUCGGAUCAGGUAGGAAUACCCGCUGAACUUAAGCAUAUCAAUAAGCGGAGGA
rnacentral:misc_RNA from 1 species